ACACACACACACACACACACACACACAAGAUGGGUAUAUUGAGCCAGGCUUUGGAGAAACCAUGUCAAAGAUAAAUGUGGAGCUCUGUUAUGAAGAAUCAACAGACUUUAAAUUUGCUGCCAGUUUUGGGUGAGUUAAUCAAAAAAGUUAAAAAUAGCAACAUGAAUAAAUAAUUUGAUUGGUUUAUUUAUAUUAUUUGAACAAUGUGUUGUUGUUUUUCAGCUCUAGCAAGUUUCUUCAUCAGGAUAAGUGGAUCAAUGUCUCUUCAGCCGGUGCUGAGUGGUCCUGACGCGGCGUUCCUCAGUUCCAGGGUGACCUUCCGCUGUAUUCGACCUGACUCCUCUCUGCCAGUCACCUAUGAGCUGAUUAGGGACGGCAGCGCCCUGAUCGCCGUAGUCGCUGACCUUCCUGGGGAUCAAAAGGCUUUAUUUCACCUGAAGGUCACGGCAACGUCGGAGGGGUCGUACCACUGCAAGGCGACGACACCAGAAAGCACAGGAGUCAGCAACAGCAUCAGGCUGAGUGUAGUCACUCCAGCCUCGAACACCAGAGUGACCUCUGACCCCUUCCCCCCUGCCGCGUACGAGGGGUCACGCAUUGCACUGAGCUGCAGCGUUGCAAGGGGCUCCCAUCUUUUCUACACCUGGUUGUUCAACAGGAAGGAGGUGACAUCUUUAACCUCUCCUCCCCUUCUCCUCACUGGGAACGAGCUAGUGAUGGGGAAGGUGGCUCCAGAGCAUGCUGGGUACUAUUCUUGCAUGGCUUGGUCCGAGGUGCAAGGCGACAGGAGGUUUUCCAGCAGCCAAGAGGUCCAGAUGACAGUCAAAGCCUACCUCUCAAAGCCAAGAAUCUCUUACUCCAUCUUCAAACAGGGAGCCAGUCGGUAUGGCAACGUGACGUGCUGGUCAACAAGAGGGAGCCCUCCGGUCAACAUCUCUCUCUCUGUAAAUGACAAAGAGGUGGGAUCCGUCACAGGCGCUCAAUCCCUCGUUGCCUGGUUCCUCGUCGCCAUGGCACCGAGGCAGGACACGGCCGUCGCUCGGUGUCGCGUGAAGACUGAGGUGCAGGAGUUGACGAGUGAGCCUGUGACUCUGGAAAUGGUGCCAGUCGGAGGUCACGUGAAAGUGGAAGUUGAAUAUCUUUACAGUGCUGAUUCCAAACUAGUUGCUGCCAAGCUGACCUGCCAGGUCAGCAGAGGAACUUUCCCUCACAUCUCUUGGCUCUUGAACAAUUCCAGCCUUCCCUCUGAGACACAUGAGGACUCCCUCACUCACCCCGUCCCGUAUCACGGCGCCCUGGCUGACCGUAGACGAACACUCUUUCUGGCCAAACUUGGCCCAGAGGAGUCUGGGUAUUACGUCUGCAGGGCCAGGGACAGCUACAACGACUCCGGCGCCUGGCUGGAGAGUGCAGCCGUGCUGGUGGGAGUCACAGUUCUGAUGCUUUUCCUCUAUCGGCACACACAUCCCCGUCAGGAGGCAGACAGGACGAUACUUUGUCCAAAGACUUUGAUUUUGAGAGUGAGAUCACUGUAUGAAACAGGAGGAACCUGCACCUCUCCUCAUUUCCAUCACCGCUUCAUGAAAAUCAAUCAAAAUCUGCAGCUACAUUUUUUUUAUCUGCAGGCAGGGCAACAAUGUCUUUUCCAGAACUGCCGAGUUGCUUAUAAAAACUGGUGGAACAUUCUAAAGUACAACUAA
ensembl:lncRNA